GAUGAGCAACAAUGUUGUUAAAAGCAGCCAAUGGUGACUGUGGCCUUUUAACUUCUCAGCUGAGAAAGAAAAGACAGCGGGUGCCUUUAUACUGCAAAACAAAAGCUUCUUGAUGAAGAUUUUGUGCAAUGCAUUGUGACCAUACUUAAGGUGCAUCCAGUUAGACAUGCUCAGUUCUCAGUGACCCACAAAGAGGGACAUGACUGUAAAAUGAAACAACUCAAAAUACCUUGGAUGGAUGGAGCUCGGGGAAGAAGAGCUCAGACACAGACAGCAGGGAAGGUCACUUAUGCCAAGAUGAAGUGUAAAUAUUUUAUCCAGGGGACGGCAGGGACAGGAUGGGCACAGGCGAGAAUGGUGUGUAUCCACGGCUCCACACAUACCUACUUCUAUCCACGCCUGCAUGUUGGCAUAAAUGUUAUCAGAUUUCUUAAGAGUCUAAUUUUAAAGCCGCUACUGACACCUUUCUGUGGGGCAGGAUAAAAAAGAGUGGGCAUCGAGCCUGCAUUUUGAGAAGAAGCCUCUUUGCACCCCACAUUUAAGAUCCCUCUUGGCUGUGAAAGAAAACCAAAGAUACAAAACCACACAGAAGCAGAGCUUAAUGGAUGAUGGUUCUGCUUGUAAUAUCACGCCCAAUUCAUGGGAAAGGAAGAGGAGAUGUGGAGCGGUUGGUCGCACAGCUGGUCAGCGAGAGCAGGAUGGCAAGGCAACGCCGAAUGCCUGAAACGGUUUCCCCAUCGACGCAAUUCAGGAAAAGUCACCACAGGAGAGUCCAGUCCUUUCUUUGCUCAGGCUGAGUGGGUUAGUGUAUGCGGUGUCUCAUCCUUCUGGCGUCUGCUCCUUGGCUCAGAGAAUGGAAGCCUAGAGAAUUUGGUCAGCCUACAAAUUCGGCAGUCAAUUCCUGGCCCUCUGUUGCCCUCUAGUGGACUUUUGUCUUAUAGUUUCGUGUACACGAUGCGUUUCAACCCACUGUGCUGCUGGAAGCCACUAUUGUUUCUAAUAGUUCAAAGGAUGUAGCUAGCAAUUAGAUUUAAUCUCUGACUCAUUUCAGCCUGCUUCACAAUAUUAAGGCAUGUUUUUGAAAAAAUCCCUCAUUGUUUAAUGGAAAGACGCGAGGCAAAUCAGCGAUUACUGUUUCAGAGGACCCCGGGGGAAAGUCAACUCUCACUUCCACCAGUCUACUUAGUGUUAAGAAGCCAGCAAAUAAGCCAUUCAGCAAACAUCAUCUGAGCACGGCCGUGUGUCACGCACUGUCCAAGUAGUGGUGUCUGGGUGGAAGGAAAUGUCCAAUUUUUACACUGUGUGUCAAUAGGCGACGACACUGUUUUUGUCGUUAAAGAAUAAAGACAACCCCACGUCUAUGGCUUAUGGGAAG
rnacentral:lncRNA from 1 species